CACCUCCCUUUGCAGUCCGGCCCAGAUCGUCCUCGGAACCCGGUGUGGCCCCACCUCCCUUUGCAGUCUGGCCCAGAUUGUCCUCGAACUGGUGUGGCCCCACCUCCCUUUGCAGUCCGGCCCAGAUUGUCCUCGGAACCCAGUGCAGGCCUCAUGCAUGGCAAAUAUUCCACAAACACACGCGGAACUGAACAUCACCAUCAACGCAUUGAUCAUUACCAUUUAGUGAAAUAAUGAAGGCUGCCCUUUAAAUUUGCAUUUGUGUGGACCAAUCAUCAGUAGCCAAGUGACCUGCUGCCCUGUCUCUGUGGACCACAACUCAGGGGAGCCCCGAGCAGAGCCAGCUCCCCGAAGUCCUCCAAUUGUUUACAUUUACGUCACAUGUGGAACUAUGAUCUGGGAAAGUUGGAUGUGGCCAAGUCAGAGGAGCUGAGCCUGCCCUGGGCUGGCUGCAGAAGACUCGGAAUUCACUGCCUGGUUGGACCCUCACUGCAGAUUUGGGAUGUAGGAGGGCAGGUGGUGGUAUCCCCUGGAAGAGUGCUGGGAGGAGGCAGCUGAAGACAGGGGAAGGCUCCAGGUUAGUGGCACAGAUGUCAUGGGCCUGUCGUCAAGAUAAAAGCAAUGGGAAUAUGACGGACCAUGUCAAGAUCUUUUGUGUGGAGGCCGGUCCAGGGGCCACUCAAGACCUUAAGUACAGCACCUCCGUAGGAAUUCUGCUGGGAUGCCACAGGAGAGGAGCCCAACGUGCCUCACAUACAUGGUCUCUGCGGAGAGAACAACCUCGGUUCAGCUCCUGCCUCCCACACUUAAUCUACGGGAACUUCUGUUUACCAUCUUUAGGGUAGUGGUAAUACUAAUUCUUUCUGCAAGGACCGUUGCAACAAUUCAAUAAGACCACGGAUGUGUGAGGGCUUCUUCAAGGAAGCCAGAGGGAGGGCCAGUGUGGCCACCGAGGCUCCUGUCUGUGGGUGGACACCAGCACAGGGGAAGCAGACGUGUUCCUGCCAUUGUCAGAUACAAGGCUGCAGUUAGGGGGUCCUGCCUAGUCCACUGGCUUGCUCUGAGCAGCUGUUCUUAUUGAAGCACGUGCCCAGGAGACGGCUUUAUUUCCCUCCCUCUCUCUGUUGUUAAGCAGUUCAAAAGUCACUGAGAGGUCAAGUCCUGAAGGCUAUGUACAAAGAACGACUCUCCUGAAAAGAUGGCCCCUGCUUCCCACAGCCCCACCGCUGAAGUCAGUGUUUGUGUUGGAGAAUAAUUAAAGCUGAUCACGUUUUGUCCCUAACACGGAGUGACAUCUUUUGAAUCUCUGCAUAUUGCUGUUUUCACUAAGCCACAUGUAACACUUCAGAGUGCCAAAUGCUUUUUAAAAAAUAGCCCUGGCUCUGAAAGAGUGCUGCAGAAUAACUCUGAUGGAAUAUGGCUUCUAUGAAAACACAAAAUGUUAAUCACCCCCCCAAGAAAAAAAGAAUUCAAAGAAUUGUUUGAAAAGAGAUGUUUGUUCUGGGCACGUAUUUCAAGGGCAAAAGUGCUUGAAGAGGAGUGGCUUACGUUUGUUCUGGUUCCUUAAGAUCUCCAGCCCAGCUCCCCAAACGGAGAGAAAUGGAGACCAGUCUUGCUUUCUGCAAAUUGGAGGCAUCACCUGACUCUUGUGUGCUGUCCAGGUAUGGUCAGGACUCAUGAAACAAGAGGUGGCAUUGGACACCUUGGAAGAGAAGCCAUGCCCCAGGCAGACCCUUUCUCACUCUCUGCAGCCCUGCACAGGCCUGUGUUCCCGCCGACCACCAGCCUCUGUGAACUUCUGCUCCUUGUCCUGCCUCCCCAGCCCAGCCCUGGAUUUUAGUGGCUACUGCGUACAAACCAGUUUCCAGCCUUAGCCAGUGCUCCUUGCUGCCCAGCCAAGAAUCUACAUACUCAUCCUCUGUCCCCUUCUGGCUGCUUCUCCUUCCCCUCUGAGACAAUUUCACCAGCCCCCAUACUGACCGGAGCUGACCCUGGAACUCAACUGAAAUAAUAGAACCAGCAGGCAGUUCCCACUCAACGUGCUUCCCUGAGCCUGCCUGUCUCCAGGACAAAGCCACCUCUGCGCUCCUCAUGCCCAUCUUCUCCUGCCUUCCCAGGAACCUCACCCCAUCAAGCACGCUUUCCCUCCUGAAAUCUCCAGGUUCUCUUCUCUUUUGGCUGUUUCCCCUCAUCCUAUGUAUACAAUCCAUUCUCUCCCAUCUUAAAAACAAACUACAGAAACAGUAAAGAGAUCAGUAGUUGCCACGGGUUCAGGGCAAGGUGGGAGGGAUGAGUAGCUGGAGCCCAGGGCACUAGGGUGGAGGAAUGCUUCCAUAUGAUGUUGUCAUAGUGGGUACAUGACAUUGUACAUUUGCCAAAAGCCAUCGAUCUGUACCACAUAAAGCACCAACCCUAAAGGAGACUAUGGACUUUAGUUAAUGAUAAGGUGUCCACAUGGCCUCAUCAACUAUGACGAAGACACCACACAAAUGCAAGAGAAUAAUAAGGGAAAUUGUAUGAAGGGUGGUGGGUGGGGGGGGGUGGAAUAAUACAAGGACUCUCUGUACUUCCUGCACAGUGCUUCUAUAAACACAGAAAUGUUCUAAAAGAUCAUCUAUUAAAAAAGCAAAACCGAACAAGACCUUCCCCUUGGUGGCUUUCAUGUAAAUGGCAGGGUAAGUAUAGGUAGUUAGCUCCCCUUUCCAGAGUCCAAAGGAAAUAUUUUUUAAGCUAGGGAAGCCUGUACCACACAGAAAACUGACAUCACUUGAUUCAUGCAACUUCCACUAGAAAGGUUCAGGUAUGUCUGUACUGAAAUAGAGGAAAGGUGGAAUUAUAACCAACGUUUCGCGGAAAGAGUAACUUGGUUCCAAAUGAGGGAGAUGAGAGACCCUGGUGUCACUCGCAGAGGCAGGAAGACAGGCAAUGAACAGAAAGGCAGCCAGCGGGGCGUCCCCAGGACAAACACUGCAAUGGGCUAGAUUUCCUCAGGAUGAGAAAGUCAAGGGGGAACGGAAGGUUUUUUAAGAGAAGCUACAAGGGCAGAAAUAAUCAACAAAAAGAAACCCACAAAGGUGAAGAAGGACUAGGUGAAGGUGAACACAGGAUCGCUGAAUUUCCAUAACAUAAAGCCUCAAAGAGCCGAGGGUGCCUGUGCUGCUGAGAACGGAAAGGAGAAGGCCCCGGUGGAAGCUCUCGUCACAGCCACGUUCCACGCCACAGGAGGGCGUUCCCAGACAGGCCCGAUUUUAAGUAUAUGAACCGGGAACCCUUCCCCAGAAGACUUUUUAGAGGUAUAAGCAAUUCUGCCCAAAGGGCAGUCAACAUUUAAAAGCUGAGAAUAGAGAAGUCAUUCGAAAAAAGGACCAACAGGAAGUAUCGAAACCAUCUACCUGUGGAUUUCUGUCUACAAACCGGCUGUAAACGGCGACACGGCAUGUAAACGCUAACAAUAAUGCUUUAUUAAGGGGAAUUACACUUACCAGUCACAAUGCAGGCUCUGCUAGAAACAAAUCCAGGAUCACAUCUAUAAGAACCAGGUGAUAUUGCUGUCAGCCUAAAAAACCCAAGUGGUAAAUUGAGAACUUCUCAAAACUAAUAAACAUGCUAACUGAUAUGAUUUGGAUCUG
rnacentral:lncRNA from 10 species